rnacentral:rRNA from 1 species
CCCAAUGUGAACGUUACCAAACUGUUGCCUCGGCGGGGUCACGCCCCGGGUGCGUCGCAGCCCCGGAACCAGGCGCCCGCCGGAGGAACCAACCAAACUCUUUCUGUAGUCCCCUCGCGGACGUAUUUCUUACAGCUCUGAGCAAAAAUUCAAAAUGAAUCAAAACUUUCAACAACGGAUCUCUUGGUUCUGGCAUCGAUGAAGAACGCAGCGAAAUGCGAUAAGUAAUGUGAAUUGCAGAAUUCAGUGAAUCAUCGAAUCUUUGAACGCACAUUGCGCCCGCCAGUAUUCUGGCGGGCAUGCCUGUCCGAGCGUCAUUUCAACCCUCGAACCCCUCCGGGGGAUCGGCGUUGGGGAUCGGGACCCCUCACACGGGUGCCGGCCCCGAAAUACAGUGGCGGUCUCGCCGCAGCCUCUCCUGCGCAGUAGUUUGCACAACUCGCACCGGGAGCGCGGCGCGUCCACGUCCGUAAAACACCCAACUUUCUGAAAUGUUGACCUCGGAUCAGGUAGGAAUACCCGCUGAACUUAAGCAUAUCAAAAGCCGGAGGAAA